UCCAGACUCCUACGGGAGGCAGCAGUGGGGAAUAUUGGGCAAUGGAGGCAACUCUUACCCAGCAAUGCCGCGUGAAUGAAGAAGGUCUUCGGAUUGUAAAGUUCUUUAAUUGGGGACGAAAAAAAUGACGGUACCCAAGGAAUAAGCCCCGGCUAACUACGUGCCAGCAGCCGCGGUAAUACGUAGGGGGCAAGCGUUAUCCGGAUUUACUGGGUGUAAAGGGAGCGUAGACGGCAGCGCAAGUCUGAAGUGAAAUGCCGGGGCUUAACCCCGGAACUGCUUUGGAAACUGAGCAGCUAGAGUGCAGGAGAGGUAAGUGGAAUUCCUAGUGUAGCGGUGAAAUGCGUAGAUAUUAGGAGGAACACCAGUGGCGAAGGCGGCUUACUGGACUGUAACUGACGUUGAGGCUCGAAAGCGUGGGGAGCAAACAGGAUUAGAUACCCUCGUA
rnacentral:rRNA from 1 species